GGAGAUGAUCUCGGCCACCAUGUUAAAGACCGAUGCAGAUCGAAUUCUAUCGUACAUGACGAGGUCCAUGAGUGCACUUAGUUCUAAGACAUUCAUCUUAUGUCCAUACUACGAAAAGAGUCACUGGAUGCUUUUAGUUCUUUGCUUGCCUAAACGUGAGGUCUACAUAUUUGAUUCUCAACAGAAGAAGAGAAAUUUGAUGAUUAAGGAGCCACUAAACAAUGUGCUCAACAACCGGGAUCACUAGAUUGUGGCUACUACGUCAUGCGUUUUAUGUACGACAUAAUGAUGAAUCAUGGUAAUAGUCAAGAUCUUACUAAGGAUUUUUCAAGAACAUUGCCUUAUUCACCGGAGGAGAUUAAUGAGGUGAAAGAUUUUUGGGCGG